AACCCCCGCAUCCGCAUUCUUGGAUCGAAGCGGCGAGCAGUUUUUCGGAGGUGAGCGGUGUUGCAAGAUGCUUCACGGCGGGUGGUGGCCUCGUUGGCCGGCGACCGUGUGGCGACCCGCCUCCAUCCCCCGUCCCCUUCCUUGCCCAUAGCGAUGGGUGAUGGCCCGACGUCCUUCUCCAUAUCCCGCACCCGCGCUCCCUUAUCUCCGUCGCCACGCUGGCAGCGGCCCCUUCCUCCACUCCCCGCUCCUCUUCGUCACGCACGACAACGGAAGGAGGGGUCCUGAUGGGAGCAAGGCUUGCGACCCCGCCGUCACAACUGCUCUGGAGCCCCGACAAAGCUAGCAACAGCAACACAGGUUCCAUGGCCUCUGUCGCACAUCUGCCGCCCAGCCGUCCCCAGGGUAGGUGGUGGCUCGUAUUCUGCUUGCUGUGGGCUGCAUCUCCUCCCACAACAACGGCCGGCAACUAGGUUCGCCAUCGGAGUUCUUCAGCAUUGCCCCCUGUCUGUCAUUUUACACGAGUAUGUCGUUUACUCUCCCAUGCCAAGUAUCUGCUUGAAUUAAGUUAGAUUCAGUAAGAAAAUUGGUUAGCUGAAUUUGGAUGGAUCACGUCCCCAAUUGCAGAGCUGAAACAUUAUGUAUUUUGUUUUGGUCUCAUCCCCGAAUAUAUUUGUUUGAGCAUAGCUAUCCUAAAAGCUUAGUACGCGAACUGUCAUACUUUCUUUUGCCUAGUUUGUAUGUGCUUGGUCAGAUGUCUUAUCGGUUUUGUUCAUAAAUUGUGUCAUUUAGAGUUUACCUUUAAUCGACAUGUAGAUGCGAAUUCAUAGUUUUAGGACUAUGGUGAUAUAUUCAUAUUUUUUGGGCCCAUAUCCUUUUUAAUAAGAAAAAUAAUAUUGUUUCCAUUCUCCAUUGAUUACCUGGCAUGAUUGAAGGAAAAGUAUUUAGUAUUGUCAUGUACAAUGCACAUAUUGCCUAAUAAAGCUUGAUUACUGUGCAUGAUUGAAGAGUGUGUGGGGGGGGGGGUAGUACUACCAUUUAAUGUUUCAAUUUCUCAAUAAAUGAAAUGUAGAUUCCGCAGUUCAGACUGUUGUAUAAAUCUAUGAUUCUUGUAUAACUCUAUUCUAGCCAGAAGUUGCAGACUUACAAUAUGUAUGAUAUAGUGCAGGUGUGACUUGUUUCAUCUCUUUUUUAACAUUAUUAAACUUUUGUAGCUUCUUAAGUCAUCCCGGCCUCCCCAUUCUGUUUCAACAUGACUUCUUUGUAUUUAUUGGAGCAAGGCGGUAAUGCAGCCUCCUCGCGUUAGACAGUGUGCUCCCACACCUCUUAUGCCAGAACGGUGGCAUCCUUCAUCACAGCCACCGCCUCCUUGCCAGGCCAGUCACUCACAUGCCAGCGCUCUCUUGCACCGAAUUAGCCGGCUGAUUGACGGGGUCAGUUCUCGAGGGACGAUGCAAGGCGCUGGUUUCCUGUGACGUUUCGUUAUGCAACACCAUUUUGCCCCUGGCUUUCUCUUCCAACAGGUUAAAAGUAGUCUAGAAAGCAAUGAAGGCCUUGUGCUGAUUGAGGAAAUUCUGAAAAAUGUGGUCCUCUGGAGACAUUUUUCUGCAAUUUCCCUCGAUAUAUUCUUAAACGUGGUAGGUAUGGUUGUAUAAACACACUGCUAAAGAGUCAUCUUAGUUAUCUGAUACAGUGGAUGUUCUAUGUCAAUGACUAUAGUUUGGAGUGGUCAAUUUACCAAACCAGUGUUAAGUAUGUGUACCAAAUACAUGUUGCCUUCAUUGUAUACUCUUCUCAUCCUUUGCAGUAAGCGAUGUUGUUUCAUU